rnacentral:tRNA from 1 species
GGGCCCUUAGUUAAGUGGUAAAACGCUGCAUUCGCAUUGCAGAGGCGCGAGUUCGAUUCUCGCAGGGUCCA